rnacentral:rRNA from 1 species
CGCCUCUUGCAAAACUAAUGAAUAAGAGGUCCCGCCUGCCCUGUGACUAUAUGUUUAACGGCCGCGGUAUUUUGACCGUGCAAAGGUAGCGCAAUCACUUGUCCUUUAAAUGGGGACCUGUAUGAAUGGCAUAACGAGGGCUUAGCUGUCUCCUCUUUCAAGUCAAUGAAAUUGAUCCUCCCGUGCAGAAGCGGGAAUAAUAACAUAAGACGAGAAGACCCUAUGGAGCUUUAGACAUAAAAUAGACCACGUCAAACACCCUCAAACAAAAGAACAAACUAAGUGGGCCCUGUUCAAAUGUCUUUGGUUGGGGCGACCGCGGAGUAACAAAAAACCCCCACGUGGAAUAAAACACCACUUUAAAACCAAGAGCCACUGCUCUAAUAAACAGAACAUCUGACCAAUGAGAUCCGGCCUAGCCGAGCAACGAACCGAGUUACCCUAGGGAUAACAGCGCAAUCCUCUUUUAGAGCCCAUAUCGACAAGAGGGUUUACGACCUCGAUGUUGGAUCAGGACAUCCUAAUGGUGCAGCCGCUAUUAAGGGUUCGUUUGUUCAACGAUUAAAGUCCU